AACGAACGCUGGCGGCAGGCCUAACACAUGCAAGUCGAACGCUCCAGCAAUGGAGAGUGGCAGACGGGUGAGUAACGCGUGGGAACCUUCCCAAUGGUACGGAAUAGCUCAGGGAAACUUGAGGUAAUACCGUAUACGCCUUUACGGGGAAAGAUUUAUCGCCAUUGGAUGGGCCCGCGUCGGAUUAGCUAGUUGGUGAGGUAACGGCUCACCAAGGCUACGAUCCGUAGCUGGUUUGAGAGAAUGACCAGCCACACUGGGACUGAGACACGGCCCAGACUCCUACGGGAGGCAGCAGUGGGGAAUAUUGGACAAUGGGCGCAAGCCUGAUCCAGCCAUGCCGCGUGAGUGACGAAGGCCUUAGGGUUGUAAAGCUCUUUUGGCGGGGACGAUAAUGACGGUACCCGCAGAAUAAGCCCCGGCUAACUUCGUGCCAGCAGCCGCGGUAAUACGAAGGGGGCUAGCGUUGUUCGGAAUUACUGGGCGUAAAGCGCACGUAGGCGGAUGUGCCAGUCAGGGGUGAAAUCCCGAGGCUCAACCUCGGAACUGCCUCCGAUACAGCACGUCUCGAGUCCGGAAGAGGUGAGUGGAAUUCCUAGUGUAGAGGUGAAAUUCGUAGAUAUUAGGAAGAACACCAGUGGCGAAGGCGGCUCACUGUCCGGUAC
rnacentral:rRNA from 1 species